CCUACGGGAGGCAGCAGUGGGGGAUAUUGGACAAUGGGGGAAACCCUGAUCCAGCGACGCCGCGUGAGUGAAGAAGUAUUUCGGUAUGUAAAGCUCUAUCAGCAGGGAAGAAAGAAAUGACGGUACCUGAGUAAGAAGCCCCGGCUAACUACGUGCCAGCAGCCGCGGUAAUACGUAGGGGGCAAGCGUUAUCCGGAUUUACUGGGUGUAAAGGGAUCGUAGACGGCAGCGCAAGUCUGGAGUGAAAUGCCGGGGCCCAACCCCGGAACUGCUCUGGAAACUGUGAAGCUGGAGUGCAGGAGAGGUAAGCGGAAUUCCUGGUGUAGCGGUGAAAUGCGUAGAUAUCAGGAGGAACACCGGCGGCGAAGGCGGCUUACUGGACUGUAACUGACGUUGAGGCUCGAAGGCGUGGGGAGCAAACAGGAUUAGAUACCCCAGUAGUC
rnacentral:rRNA from 1 species